GAAUUCGAUAGUGAUUCAGGCGUAACACAUUCAAGUGAGAGCGAUUCUGUUCGGAGAAGACCGGCGGAUCGGGUGAGUAACGCGUGGGUAACCUGCCCUGUACACACGGAUAACAUCACCGAAAGGUAUGGUAAUACGAGAUAACAUUCUUUUAUCGCAUGGUAGAAGUAUCAAAGCUCCGGCGGUACAGGAUGGACCCGAGUGUGAUUAGAUAGUUGGUAAGGUAUCGGCUUUCCAAGGGGACGAUCAGUAGCCGACCUGAGAGGGUGAU
rnacentral:rRNA from 1 species